CCGGCAUUCCCAGGUGUCCCCAUUCGGUGAUCAAGACUGAACACAGAGACUCACCAUGGAGUCUGGGCUCAGCUGGGUUUUCCUUGUUGCUCUGUUACAAGGUGUCCAGUGUGAGGUGCAGCUGGUGGAGUCUGGGGGAGGCUUGGUCCAGCCUGGGGGGUCCCUGACACUCUCCUGUGCAGCCUCCGGAUUCACCUUCAGUGACUACGGGAUGCAUUGGGUCCGCCAGGCUUCCGGGAAGGGGCUGGAGUGGGUCUCAUACAUCUAUAGUAGUAGUAGCACAUACUACGCAGAUGCCGUGAAGGGCCGUUUCACCACUUCCAGAGACAACAGGAAGAACACGCUGUCUCUGCAAAUGAACAGUCUGAGAGCCGAGGACACGGCCGUGUACUACUGUGCGAGAGACACAGUGAGGGGACAUCAGCGUGAGCCCAGACACAAACCUCUUGCGGGGGCCGCCAGGGGGCGCGCGGUGCACAAGGAGCAGAGUCAGCCCAGGGCAGGUGCAGGUGGAGGGUAA